rnacentral:tRNA from 1 species
GUGAGUAAAGCUCAAUGACAAAGCGCCUGGUUAUGGCCCAGGUGAUGAGGGUUCAAUUCCCUCUACUCGCC